rnacentral:ncRNA from 2 species
AAUAUUGUACGUAAAAUAACCCGUAUAAUCCCGGUAAUAUGGUCUGGGAGUCUCUACAGAGUGGCCUUAAAUCACUCUACUAUGGACGGAAAAUUUCUUUUU